ACAAUUACAAAAUUGCAUCAGACCUAAUUAACUAAAAGACAUUUACCACUAAAAACAAAGAUAUAAGAGUUCAUAAAUGCCAAGAAAUUUACCAGAGUUAGGAGAGGGUAAGAAUCCUGGAAUUGUUACUGCUUUCAUAGUGAUGAGAUUGUUGUCAAAGGAGAUUCUACUCCUCUCACCAUCAGAAAACCUCUCAUAUUAAUUUCAGAUUAUCCAUUGAUGAUUCCUAUGACUUACUCUUUCCGCUGUCUAUUUUUAAGCCCUAUCUCUAGCCAGUUAGCCCUCUCUUUACCCUUCAUUAUAUCGUUUCUAUCAUUGCAUCACAUUAUGGAUAUGUUUUUUUCCUGAAAUAGACAUCACAAAAAUUUCAAAUAUAGGAUUUUUUUAAUAAACUCAUUAAGCUUCGCAUUUCCACGUAAAAUUACAACUUCCCAUGUUACAACCGUACCAUUUGUCCUGCCUUAUCUAUAUAUCUUACUUCUAACGUGUUUUUGUAAUGAAAAAAAUGACUUGGAAUAUGUUAUCGAUCCAGAGAAAGAUCUUGCUAAGUAGCUUUAACCGUUGUGACCACCUGUUUCUGAUUCACAUCA
rnacentral:lncRNA from 1 species